CUGAAAGAUCACUCUGAAGGACUUCAUCUGAAGUUGCUCUAGCUAAAGCAGCAGCCAGAAAUGAAGGGCAAUUAUACUUGUAGAGCUGCUGCAGGCAGAGGUCCAGGCACUCGCCCUCCACCUCCUCCUCCGUGAUGUACUCCGACAGCGGCCGGGGCAGCGGGGGCAGCGGCGGGGGGGGCGGCGGCGGGGUGGGCGGCCGAGGGUCCGCGCUGUCUCCUUCCUCCGCCUCGGCGGCCGCCGCCUCUCCCUCAGCCGCGGGGUCCUCCUCGGAGGCGGCGGUGUCGACGGUGUCGGCGGCGGGAGGGGGGGGAGCCGGCGCCGGCUCUGCCCCGAAAGGCCCGCGGAACUCUCCCAAGAACAGCUCGAGGAAGCGGCGGUAGUUC
rnacentral:lncRNA from 1 species